ACUUAUUGCAAUUAAAUUCUCAAUGUUCACACAUUCCUUUCAAAUUCCUUCAUUAUGAAGGAAACGUCUUGACAAGUUACCAGACUUAUAAAUAUACCACAAAUAGAAAUAUGCACUAUGUGAAUCAAAUUUCCUCACGUAGAUAAGCCUUUCAAAAAUCUUUCCUCCAAGAUACUAUUUUUUUAUUCACAUCGCCACCAAGAAGGAGGCAGGUAAUUCAUCUGUCUCUAAUGAAGUUUCGUGAUUAAACAAAGUUUGAACCGGGUCAUUCUUUCCACUAUUCACACUACACCCCCAAAUAAAUACAUUCAAAUAAAUACCAAAACAUCCCAAAAACCACUCAAUUUGUUACGCAACACAAGCCAGGAUCGAACCCACCAACUCCUCCACUAUCCAAAUCACUUUCAACAAUUAUCACUCAUUUGUAUCUUUGCUGCUUCUUCCAUGUCCCACAUACAGCCCCUGCUCAUUCUUUUUCUAUAUAUCUUCUGCUCUGGCUUUUUUUUUUUUUUUUUUUGUUUUUUUUUUUUUUUUGAUUGAUUUGGGGAUAAAUAUUAAUUACACUAAUGUUCUUGCAUGUUUUGGGUAAUAGUAGAUAGCUCUCAGUUGAUUUUUUUUUUUUUGGGUUGCUGAGUAGAAUUGGCACAAUUUGAUUUUUCUGAGAAAGACUUAUGAAUUCAAGUUUUUCUUUCUCAAAGAUUCAUUGUGCAAUUUGUGGUUGUAACUAGUUAGAUUUAAUGUCUCUCAUUUCAUUUAGUCGGAAUAUAAUGGCUGCUCAAUUUUGAUUGACAGAUGUUGAAAAAAGUCCACCACUUUAACUAUAAAGAGCUGCAGUUGUCGUUGCCAGAACUAAAAAGAUGUGUAUGCUAGGGCUUAAAGAAGAUUUUUGUGAAGACUUUGAAAGGCACCCACUUUGAGAUCAAAGUGAAACCCGACGAUAGCACCCGAAGUUAAGCUCAGAAACUCAAUCAUCUUCUCCUUCAUGUUGUGAUUUUUGGAAUGGAAAAGGUUGCUACUACCCCUCUAUUGGAACAUGCCCUUUCUUAUUGUCUCAUCCUGGCGGUGUUGGGACACUUCACUGCAGAUUAUGUUCGGUGCACCAAGCAAGAAUGAAUGAAUUCCAAGCAAUAUUAGUGAAGUUUGGAAGCAUUGUGCAACAGAACGAAGCGGCAAGAGGAUCGUGAGCAGACUUGGGCAGAUCACUGCACGUCCAUGCGCGAUGGGCGUGCGUCGCAUGGGUCGCUCUCUCUCUCUGAUUUUUUUUUUUUUUUCUUGAGCGAGCGAUGACCAGGUGACGAGUAAGGCACACAUAUUCCUGAAGAUUUGCCUUGCGCGAUUUAUGUGCGAUGCGCAAGUGACGCACGUCACGUCUCGGUUUUCCUAUUUCGCAUAGGAUUUGGUCUAAUUAUUUCAGACUUAACCCUAGACUAUAAAUAUAAGCUUUUAACGUGUGAAUGACUGCUGGGACAUUUUUGACGACGGGAAACUAACGUUCUUGGCUUGUGGAGAUUCUUACCAUUGGUUUAUCUCUUUUCUUAGUUUCUUUUCAUUAAACCCAUGUUUCAUAACGCUAUUCAUAUUGUUUUGUAUGAACAUGAGUGGCU